GGUGUGCUCAGAGGGUUCCUCACUCUGGUGCAGCCACACUGAGGGGUUCUUGCCCUGCUGCUGCUUCCCAGGGGAUUCUCCCUUGGCUGCACUGAUUCCUGACUGUUCUCAGGUACUCCAGAACUUUCUAUGUUGUAACUGAGGAGGGGCUGAAACUUUCCUGUCCAUCAUUUUAGUGGUGAUUUUUGUUCCCUCUGUGACUCAGGGUGUGAUGUACAGCUGGGUGUCAGAAUAAGGGAUUGCAGCUUUAAAUAAGAAAUUAAAUCCUCUCUUUUCUCACUUUAUGCUUCUCCUUUGCUCUUCUGAAAACUUAAUUUUGAAAGAUGUGAAACCUUUCAGUUUUUCCC
rnacentral:lncRNA from 1 species